UCCCUUUCAGGAGAAUAUGCAAGGGAUGAGCGAGGGAUUCUGUAGUGCUCUCUGGGCUCGGUUGCUUUUUUGCAGACAUUUCAUGACCAAACUAGGUAUCAUCAAUGCUCUGAAUAAUUUGAACUGCUGCCUCCUUUUCAGGUGGAUGUCCACAUAACACCCGGGACACAUGCUUCUGAGCAUGCAGUGAACAAGCAACUUGCUGACAAAGAGAGAGUAGCAGCUGCCUUAGAGAACAUGCACUUGCUCCAGGUGGUGAACCAGUGCUUGUCGGGACGAUCUUAGUCUGUGUCUGUGUGUGUGUGUGUGUGUGUGUGUGAGAGAGAGAGAGGGGUGGGUGGGGGAAUGAAUAUCUUCAAGGUCUGGUGGAGGCCAGUUUCUUGGUGAAAGAAGAUCAUUUACUUGUCCUCUAUCUACGUUGGAGUAAAAAAAUGUUCCUUAGCAAAAAGCCAUUUAAUUUUUUUCAAGAGUUGGUGAUAAAUGUGGUUUUGAAAUAUGCUAUUUGAAUAGAGGAAGGUGCUUGUAAUAACUAACAGAAGCCUUAUACCUUCCUAGUCAAAUAGGUCUAUUUUUGAAAACCUCCAGUGACGGAGCCCCCACAAACCCCGGGAGACAAACUAUUCCAUUAAUUGUUCUCACUGUCAGUAUAUUUAUCCCAGGUUGGAUCUCCCUUUAACAAGGUUCCACCUAUCACUACUGAUCCUGCCCUCAGAUGCUUUGGAGAUCCCCUCUUCUCUGAGGCAGCCCCUCAGGUACCAGAGGACAGUUAUCAUCUCCCCCUGACCCUUAUCAUGUUUGAUAGGCUAGACAUACCUUUCUCCCUCAACCAUUCAUCAUACAAUCUAGCCUGUUACCAAGUUGAAGGUUUAAAGUGGUUUGAAUAUGUUUCUUAUUCAAAAGGCCUGUCAUGUCCUGGGGGGCCUUCAGCCUUUUGGGGCUGACAGGCCAAUCUGGAUUCUGCUAAAUGCCCUGGUGCUGCCAGGCCUCAAGGCCGCUUGCCCAAAUGUGUGGCCCAAUAAACCUGAGCAUGGCACAGAACUGGGGAAACGGUUCCUAAAAACUGUUCCUCAGCAUUAAGGAUCCGGCCACCUUGUGGCCAAAUUCACACAACACUUUGUAAAACACAGCCAGUCUGGCAAAAGAAAUCUGGUGCAGCUUCACACAGAAGUCUGGAUCUCCCAACAUGCUAAAGCAUCCACCAUUCUGCCUUCAUCUGGGUAUGCAGAUGAACACGGCUAGAUCAUCUGCAUACCCAGCGCUUGCUUUGGCCUCCUUUUUUCCUCAGAACCAGCUCCUUCCCCCUUCUCUCCUGCUUACUUGCUUCCCCAUAGGGUUCCUGUGGCUUCCUGUUGCUCUUUGCAGCAUUCCCUCCCCCACCCUCUCCUUUCUCUUCCACUGGGGGGGGGGCAUUGUUCCUUCCUGGGGUCUGGAACAGCUCAUCCCUUCAUCUCGACUCUCUUCCAGAGCUCCAACUUAAAAGGGUGGGUCACCCUAGAAAAGUGUGGGCCAGUGGAAUAAAGGCAAACAGCACAUAACCAGAGGCCAUCUACAUAUUUGCAAAAUGUGUCUCAUACACACGUGUGCGCACACACACAGAGAGAGAGAGAGAGAACCCAAAUUAUAUCUACAAAAGGUAAACUAA